AUGGGAGAGCCUUCUUCUUCAUCUGCUUCAUACAUUCAUAUGGUGCAACACCUAAUUGAGAAGUGUUUGAUCUUUCACAUGACAAAGCAAGAAUGCAUGGAAGCUCUUUAUAAGCAUGCAAAAAUUAAGCCUGUCAUAACCUCCACAGUUUGGAAUGAGCUUGAGAAAGAGAACAAACAAUUUUUUGAAGAGUAUGCAAAAUCAAAGAGUAAAGACGAGCGAAUGUCCGAGGAAGAAACAAACCAGAUGCUACAGAAAAUCGUCUCAGAUUCCUCCAAAGGCUCAACCAAUGACUAA